AAUCCAUGGUGAGGACACUUCAAAAACAAAUCCUUAUAACGCUCCCAACUCUCAUAAAAAGGUUCUCCUUCGGGGUUGAGAGAAACCAAAAAUUUCUGCUUGGAGAGC
rnacentral:snoRNA from 1 species